ACCAGGUAGUUGGAAAGAGAUCGGAGACAAGUGUGGGAAGCCGUGGAGGACAUAAACUUUUCCUCUGGUCUUUCAGCUAAGUAGCACCUCCGAGAUGAUGAGUUACUAUAUGGACACAACCAUUGGCAAUCCAGCCCCUUAUCCUUUACCUCGCCCUGGAGUGAUGAAGCAGGGUGCUGCCGGCCCCUGUGAUGAUCCCUGGGUGACCUGUGGCUUUCAGUCCGCCUGCUGCCAGCCCAGGAUGUGCUGCCCACUCUGGGAUGAACCUGCCACGCAAGAGGUGCCCACUGGCCUGGAGCACUA